AUUCAAUAACCUUCAAUUCAAUUGUUAGAUCAAGCUUAAACUUAUAGCAUACACUCCAAAAAACUAUUCUUAUAAGUCUUCAAAAUUUGAAAUUUAGAUCAACUAUCAAACCUAUGAAAUUCUCCAAAACGUAAUACCAUUUUUAUUUUACAAAUUCUAGAAUCACCCAAAACAAUUGUGACUUUGCAAAGCUCUUACAAAGUCAUUACAUACUCAAAUCAUUCAAAAUAAAUGCCUAAAAAAACUUCUAUCAAGUCUGCUCUCAAAUCCCAC
rnacentral:lncRNA from 1 species